rnacentral:rRNA from 1 species
AUUAGAUCUCAAAUCAGGUAGGACUACCCGCUGAACUUAAGCAUAUCAAUAAGCGGA